rnacentral:rRNA from 1 species
GACGAACGCUGGCGGCGUGCUUAACACAUGCAAGUCGAACGGUAAGGCCCUUCGGGGUACACGAGUGGCGAACGGGUGAGUAACACGUGGGUGAUCUGCCCUGCACUUCGGGAUAAGCCUGGGAAACUGGGUCUAAUACCGGGUAGGACCACUGCCUGCAUGGGUGGUGGUGGAAAGCUGUUGCGGUGUGGGAUGGGCCCGCGGCCUAUCAGCUUGUUGGUGGGGUGAUGGCCUACCGAGGCGACGACGGGGAGCCGGCCUGAGAGGGUGGUCGGCCACACUGGGACUGAGAUACGGCCCAGACUCCUACGGGAGGCAGCAGUGGGGAAUAUUGCACAAUGGCGCAAGCCUGAUGCAGCGACGCCGCGUGAGGGAUGACGGCCUUCGGGUUGUAAACCUCUUUCAGCACCGACGAAGCGCAAGUGACGGUAGGUGCAGAAGAAGGACCGGCCAACUACGUGCCAGCAGCCGCGGUAA